rnacentral:rRNA from 1 species
AUGGUUUUGGAGGACGAAAGCAGCGACGACCAUUCUAGCCCCCCGUACAUGCAUUCUUCCUCCACAGACGGUCUGAACGAGGUUCCUUUCACCAUUGAAGAUCCAGAUUACAAGGGGCUUGAGCUGGAUGUGAUGUGUCCAUGUGAGAAGCACGGCAUGGCAUCUGAGAGGCUUGUUGCCUUUGAAGGAACAGACACAGGCAGGAGGUUUUUAGCAUGUGCACAGUCGGAAGGUAGCAAUUGUGGCUUUGUUGAAUGGGUUGAUCACCAGUGGCCCCCAACAAUGCAGAAUGCAUUGUUGAAGCUAUGGGCAAUGGUUGAAGAUGCCAAAAGUGCUAGGGUGAAUGACAAUCUUGAGAAUUCUUUCACUAUCCACCAUCUGACAGAAGAGAAGAACAAGCUGGAGGCCAACUAUGACAAGCUAGUCCAAGAUGUGCAUGAGCUGAUGAACUUCCAGGAAGAUAAGGUGGUGGAUUUCAGGCAUCUGCAGUCUGCCAUUAUAUAUCAGCAGGAGGUAAGAAAAGAACUGACUGAUGAUAUGAAGGCAAAGAUGGCAAAGAAAGAUGCAGAGACCCAGCAACUUACUCAGAAGUAUGAGGUGCUGCUCAACCUGACAAGAGCUCAAGCAACAGUCAUUCAGAACUUGAAGUUGAACAAAAUGAAAGAGAAGCAAGUGCUUACUGAAGCUAGUAUGAAUUUGGAGCUGAAGAAUGCAGAGCUAACUAAGUGUCAGGAGAAGCUCACCCAAGAGAAGCUAGAGUUGAAGCUUCAGGUUGUUGAUCUGCUUAAGGGAAAUAAAAAGCAUAUUGAAGAGAAGUGGCAGUUAGAGUUUCAGAAUGAAAAGUUGAAGGAGAAGUUCAGGGGGAUUCAAGCCAUCUUGGAGAAGUGA